AUUGAACGCUGGCGGCAGGCUUAACCCAUGCAAGUCGAGCGAGCGGCGGACGGGAGAGUAAUGUCCGGGAAACUGCCUGCUGGAGGGGGAUAACUCCUGGAAACGGUCGCUAAUACCGCAUACCAUCAGAUGUGCCCAGAUGGGAUUAGCUAGUAGGUGGGGUAAUGGAUCACCUAGGCGACGAUCCCUAGCUGGUAUGAGAGGAUGACCAGCCACCCAGGAACUUAGACCCGGUCCAGACUCCUACGGGAGGCAGCAGUGGGGAAUAUUGCACAAUGGGCGCAAGCCUGAUGCAGCCAUGCCGCGUGUGUGAAGAAGGCCUUCGGGUUGUAAAGCACUUUCAGCGAGGAGGCGUUACUCGCAGAAGAAGCACCGGCUAACUCCGUGCCAGCAGCCGCGGUAAUUC
rnacentral:rRNA from 1 species